rnacentral:misc_RNA from 1 species
AAGUCGUAACAAGGUUUCCGUAGGUGAACCUGCGGAAGGAUCAUUAACACGUAUCCAACGUUAAACAACCCUGUGAACUUUAAGUCCCCUCUUGCAGCCCAUGAGGAACAGCAAUCCCGGUAAAUCAUUGCCAAACAGUUUUGAUUCGGGACCUCUGUCCAAAAGGAGUUGCAAUCGAAGGGUGGAAGCAGUGGCAUGGCUUCCCCAAGCAGUUAGUGAAUGACAGUGUCACUGACUGUGUAAGGAUAACGCCUCACGGUUGCUAGAGGUCGAUCACCGACCGGCAGACAUGUCACAGGGCCACUUGAAAAUGCCCCGCCUAGUGGUAACGCGCUAGGUAAAAAAAACCGAACAACUGUUAACAAUGGAUAUCUUGGUUCUC